rnacentral:lncRNA from 1 species
GCCUCAUGUGGGAAGAGAGAGCAAGGCUGCCUGUGGCUAUAAAGUCAAGGUGGAAAGGGCAAGAAACCUUGAGAAGGUGGCCUGUGGAGGACCGGAGGAGGGAAGUAUCCGGCUGGGAUGGAGUCCUGGAAGCCUUCCUGGAGGAGGAGGCAUUGAGGCUGGGCCUUGAGGAUGUAUGAGAUGUGUCCGAGGGACGGAUGGGGGGUGGGAAGAGUAUUCCAAGGUGGCCGCACAGCCUCAGCAAAGGCCCGGAGGUGGGAAUGUGGCGGAUCCGUGCUGACAGGGAGCCGAGGCGCACAAAGUAGCCCUGCUGUCUCCUCUGAUCCUCCACCGAACCCACUUCAGGGCCUUCAGCCUCAGCCGCCAGUGCCGCUGGAGGACAGGAUACGGGGACAGCACGGGGACAGGAUACGGGGACAGCACGGGGACAGGAUACGGGGACAGCACGGGGACAGGAUACGGGGACAGCACGGGGACAGGAUACGGGGACAGCACGGGGACAGCAUGGGGUCAGCACAGCCACCCACCCCCUCCACAUCUGCUCACCCACCUCUGGGUACAGAAGCCACAGGUUCCCACAUUCACAGUUCCCCUUGACUGACAUCAACCCAUUUGGUCUUCCCCAAACCCUAAGAUGUAGGCACUAUGGUGGGCCCUGUUUUACACAGGAGGAAAACUGAGGCAAAGGAGAGGUGAGAUCCUGCAGGAUCCAAGAAGCAGACCCAGAUUGGAACCCAGGCACGUUGGUCCCAAACUGCUUAACCAUUUUUUUUUUCUUUG